rnacentral:pre_miRNA from 1 species
AGCAUGAUUGCUGGAUCAUAUGGUAAGUUUAUGUUUAAUUUUGUAAGAAACUGCCAAACUAUCUUUCAAAGUGGCUGUACCAUUUUAUAUACCCACAAGCAAU